rnacentral:lncRNA from 1 species
UGGAGGAUGAAGAUACAAUAAAUAUAUGCCUGGAACCCUGACCAUAAGCAACAUUUCUUGUUCCCUUUAAGGACAUUUAAAAACAGGAAUGAUGCCUAAGCUCCUAACGGCAGCUCAGAUUCAGCAGGUGCAUGGAAGCAAUUCAGAGUCUGUGCUGCGAAGCCACAAAAUAAAAAAUGUUCCAGACUACAGAGUGUGUCACGGACACAAGCUGUUAGAAUCGCCUGUAUGAGGAAUCAUGGUGGCAGCACUACCACUCCAUCUGGAACUGCCAACAUUUCAUGGUCACAAUGACAGGCCUAAAUGUCCACCUGUUAGCUUCAAAACACAGCUCUGAAAUCUGAAAGGGCUGCAGGCUGAAGUGUUGCCAUUACAAAGACUAUGGACUGAAAGGUUAAAACAGAAGCUGGGCUUUUUCUGUACUUUCUGCCGUAUUAUACUACAAGGAUGAAAUCAAUCCUGUCGCUGAGACCAGUACUUUACCUACAGACUCUGACUGGAAACAGAGUGAAGUGUUUUUUAAUUAAUGCACGGCGAUAUUCAGCCUGCCUAAAACAGUUAUUCUCGGUCCUGAAAUAUAAAUCGAUUGGAGACACCACUUUCCUUACACCAGAUGGGCAAAGCAGAAAUAUGAAGAGUGAGAACCUCAGUAAUAUUUUGUCAGAGCAGGGGGAGGCUGGAUUGAGCAAAUGUUCAGGUGAUAACUGUUAUAGAUCUUCAGGGAAUCUCUGGACCAGAGCUCCGCUAUCAAUUCAACUAAGCGCCUCCACCCCCGCCCCCCAACGUCGCUUUGCACCUAGGACAUCCAAUCUUCUCCGCCCCAGUGUCUCCUCGCCAGUCGCGCAAGAUCAAAUGCACGUAACGAGCACAAGCUUCCAACACUGCCAGUGUUUCAGGAUAUCCAGCGGCCAGGGAGUUGUGCACCUAAUGACGCAAGGGGGGUCUCAACCUCACCGGGGCAUAGCCCUCCCCUGCUGGUGUGUCCGUGGCUCUUGACUCCUCCUCCUGGGUGGCCUUGAGGUCCUGCAGAAACUGCCACUGCACUGGUAAGAUGAAACAGAAAGUGGGUAAGAUGGUUUCUGGAGAGGUUGUUACCAGGUCUU